UUGAAAGGGAAACGAUUGAAGUCAGUCAUACCAACGGGAAAUCAACCUUUUGAGCUUGGUCUCGUGGGUUUUGAAGAGUUUCAAAGCCUUCGGAUUCGCGGGAUUGGGAUCUCUCGGUGUACUUUUUCGUACGGUUAGUCAACAUCGGUUUUGAAUGCCAUAAAAUGACUGGAGGAAUGUAGCUUCGAUCUCGUAUUGAAGUGUUAUAGCCUUUGGUAGAUGUGAUGUUUGAGACCGAGGAUUGCAACGGAUACCCUUCAGGGCUAUUCGUCUGAUCUCUGAUACGUUGCCUUGAUGUUGAAAGCUUGCUUAUGAUGUUAGGGUAUUACGGUCAAAAGGUUAGAACGAAUUACAUUCGUUAAGGAUGUUGACGUA
rnacentral:rRNA from 1 species